UCCGGUUGAUCCUGCCAGAGGUCACUGCUAUCGGGGUUCGAUUAAGCCAUGCGAGUCGAGAGGGUUCGGCCCUCGGCGUACUGCUCAGUAACACGUGGAUAACCUGCCCUAGGGGAGGGGAUAACCCCGGGAAACUGGGGAUAAUACCCUAUAGGUUACAGAUGCUGGAAUGCCCUGUAACCAAAAGCUCCGGCGCCCUAGGAUGGAUCUGCGGCCGAUUAGGUUGUUGUUGGGGUAACGGCCCAACAAGCCCGUAAUCGGUACGGGUUGUGGGAGCAAGAGCCCGGAGUUGGAUUCUGAGACACGAAUCCAGGCCCUACGGGGCGCAGCAGGCGCGAAACCUUUACAAUGCGGGCAACCGUGAUAAGGGAACCUCGAGUGCCUGUAAACGCAGGCUGUUCAGGUGUUUAAAACGCACCUGGAGAAAGGGCCGGGCAAGACCGGUGCCAGCCGCCGCGGUAAUACCGGCGGCUCGAGUGGUGGCCGCUUUUAUUGGGCUUAAAGCGUUCGUAGCUGGGUUGUUAAGUCUCUUGGGAAAUCUGGCGGCUUAACCGUCAGGCGUCUAAGGGAUACUGGCAAUCUUGGAACCGGGAGAGGUGAGGGGUACUUCGGGGGUAGGGUGAAAUCCUGUAAUCCUCGAGGGAC
rnacentral:rRNA from 1 species